rnacentral:rRNA from 1 species
UUAAAUUGAAGAGUUUGAUCAUGGCUCAGAUUGAACGCUGGCGGCAGGCCUAACACAUGCAAGUCGAACGGUAACAGAAAUCAGCUUGCUGAUUUGCUGACGAGUGGCGGACGGGUGAGUAAUGUCUGGGAA